rnacentral:tRNA from 1 species
GCCGGAGUGGCGGAAUGGCAGACGCGCUGGAUUCAAAAUCCAGUGGCCUUCGGGCUGUGUGGGUUCAAGUCCCACCUCCGGUA